rnacentral:rRNA from 1 species
UGCAUUCAGCCGAUACCAAGACCAGCGCCCGCAAGGGCAGCGUGCAUUGAUGAUUCAGGCUGUCCUGUGCAAUAGCAGAGUGAUGUACAUCAUCGCUGCUUGGCCGCACGAACUUCUGACCUAUCAGCUUAGGACUGUGGUGUAGUGGACCACUGUGGCUAUCACGGGUAACGGAGAAUUAGGGUUUGAUACCGGAGAGGGAGCCUGAUACACGGCUACCACUGCUAAGGUGGGCAGCAGGCACGCAAAUUGCCCAAUACCAGCACACCUGGUGAGGCAGCAACGAGCUGUAGCAAUUCCGCCGGUCCCUGUGACAGGCGGAAUUUGCAAUGGAUGCCAUAUCCAAACCCAGCAAUGAUGAUCAACUGGAGGGCAAGUCUGGUGCCAGCAGCUGCGGUAAUUCCAGCUCCAACGGCGUAUACUAAUAUUGCUGCUGUUAAAACGCUUGUAGUCGACCACAGAACGUGGGGCUGCGAGGUGGCCUACAACAGUGGUCCUGAGGACAGCUUCGGUUGUUUGAUGGCCUGCUGAAGUGGGAACUCAACCCCUCGCAGUAUGCCCCCGCGUUCGCUGCACAUGGGACCGAUUGCACCUGCGAUAAGUGGGCUUCAUUGACCACCGACGCGGCUUCACCCGCAACGCGGGUACGGGAUCAAGUGCCAUUCGUGUCACUCCCACCCCCGGUGUCGUCCAUGGCUGUUACCGUGAACAACUCAGCGCGUCCAAAGCGACCGACUAUUGGCUGCAUGCUUCCGCAUGGGAUAACAAAGGAUUGACCAGAUGGGCUUUCGUAUUUUGCUGGCCUUAGUGUCCAUCAAGGGCAAUACGGUGCUGUCCCCCCAGUUAGGUGGCCAACUUCGGUUGCGUUCACCCGAUUGGUGGUGCAGUGCCGACCAGUAAUGAUGGGAGCGUUCGGGGUGAUGGGUAUCGAAACGCUAGAGGUGAAAUUCUUAGAUCGCUUUGGGAUCAGCUGCAGCGAAGGCGUUUUGCAAGGGCAUGUCCGUCGAUCAAGAACGAGAGUGUGGGGAGCGAAGAUGAUCAGAUACCGUCGUAGUCCACUACCGUAAACUAUGUCGGCUCGGCGUUGGCGGUGUAUUCUGCUUAUAAGGGCACCGCCAGUUCCACUCUUCUGCAACGAGAAAUCAAAGCUUGUGGGUUCAGGGGGGAGUACUGUCGCAAGGCUGAAACUUAAAGGAAUUGACGGAAUGGCACCACAAGGCGUGGAGUAUGCGGCUUAAUUUGACUCAACACGGGGAAUGUUACCAGGUCAGGACGUAGCUGGGAUUGACAGAUUGAGAGCUCUUUCUUGAUUCUUUGGACGGUGGUGCAUGGCCACUCCUGAUUGGUGGAGUGAUUUGUCUGGUUGAUUCCGAUAACGAAUGAGAUCUCUGCCUCCCAAUAGUCCCCGGU